UUCCUACGGGAGGCAGCAGUGGGGAAUAUUGCACAAUGGGGGAAACCCUGAUGCAGCGACGCCGCGUGAGUGAAGAAGUAUUUCGGUAUGUAAAGCUCUAUCAGCAGGGAAGAUAAUGACGGUACCUGACUAAGAAGCCCCGGCUAACUACGUGCCAGCAGCCGCGGUAAUACGUAGGGGGCAAGCGUUAUCCGGAUUUACUGGGUGUAAAGGGUGCGCAGGUGGCAGGGCAAGUCAGAUGUGAAAGCCCGGGGCUCAACCCCGGUAUUGCAUUUGAAACUGUCCGGCUAGAGUGAAGGAGAGGG
rnacentral:rRNA from 1 species